rnacentral:rRNA from 1 species
UACGGAGGGGGCUAGCGUUGUUCGGAAUUACUGGGCGUAAAGCGCACGUAGGCGGCUUUGUAAGUUAGAGGUGAAAGCCCGGAGCUCAACUCCGGAAUAGCCUUUAAGACUGCAUCGCUAGAAUUGUGGAGAGGUAAGUGGAAUUCCGGGUGGAGCGGUGAAAUGCGUAGAGAUCCGGAGGAACACCGACGGCGUAGGCAGCGCCCUGGACGAGACCUGACGCUCAGGCACGAAAGCUGGGGGAGCAAACAGG